UCAUUAGUCCAUAUUUUUGGAAUGACACUGUUCAAGCACUUAAAGUUGGUGGUCCUUUAGUUAAUGUACUUCGUAUGGUGGAUGGGGAGAAAAAACCACCAAUGGGCUACAUUUAUGAAGCCAUGGAUAGGGCAAAAGAAAGUAUUGAAAAGGCAUUCAAUUAUGAUGAAAGGAAAUAUAUGAAUGUUUUCAAAAUCAUUGAUGCAAGGUGGACGGAUCAACUUCAUCAACCUUUACAUGCAGCAGGACAUAUUUUGAACCCGGGGCUCUAUUAUAAAAAUAAUGAGAUGAAGACUUUAACUGAAGAAGUGUGGUUGGGAUAUCAUGCAUAUGUUGAGAGGAUGAUCCUAGAUAAAACUUUGCAAGACAAAAUAGGGGAUGAGCUUGGUGUGUACAUGAAAGCUGAUGGGCUACUUGGAAUUGAGUCGGCCAUUAGAGCUAGAACCUUAAGGUCACCAGUUGAAUGGUGGAUGUAAUAUGGUCAUAAUGUCCCAAACUUGCAACAAUUUGCUAUUAGAGUGCAAAGUUUAACUUGUAGCUCAUCCGGUUGCGAGAGAAAUUGGAGCGUGUAUGAACAUAUUCAUACUAAAAAGAGAAACAGGCUUGAGUUAAAACGCCUGAAUGAUCUAGUGUUCAUCAAAUAUAAUAGAACAUUGGUGUGUCGCUACAAUGCUCGCAAUACCAUUGAUCCAAUUUUGUUGGAUAAUAUUGAUAAUGCAAAUGAAUGGUUAACUAGAGCACCCCAAAAUCAUGAAGAUGAAGAAGUAUAUGAAGGAGAAGGUCUCACUUAUGGUGAUGUUGCUACGGCUAGUGGUGUGGAGGAGAAUAUUUAUGGUUUUAGGGGGAGUAUUUUAAGGGGCAAGGAAAAAAGAGUAGCUACAGGUUCAAGUUCAUGUUCAAAUAGAAGUAGAACUCUUGUUGAUGAGUCCUCCGAUGAGGAAGAAGAUGAGGACCAAGUAGAAGUAGAACCCUUGUUGAUGGCACUUCAAGAGUUUGAGGAUCUUGUUGAAGAAUAGGAUUUUGCUCUCUUUGUGAUUUGGUUAUGCAUUUGCUUUAUAUGUUGUUACUUAUGAGGAUUAUUGACUAUCUAGUUACUUUUUAAUCUAAGUCUUUUGAGUUCUUGAUUAUUUAUCUAUGCAUAUUUUAUAUUUUAUAUUUUUAUACUAAAUAGCGCUUUUUCUGAAAAAAGCAUGCGCUUCGCUUCACGCUUCUCGCUUCUGUGAAGCGAGCCCCCGUCGCUUUUUUCCGCUUCUCACUUCUCAAAACACUGGUGGCAUGUGUAGUAUUUCUCUCUAGACAUAAGGUUUGAGUUUGAGGUAAAGUAUGGGAGCUGUAAGGACCUUGGAAUGCAGAUAUGUGAACCUUGUUACCUUUCCAGUCUUUGAUCAUAAGCAUAACU